GAUGAACGCUGGCGGCGUGCCUAAUACAUGCAAGUCGAACGAACGGGCGAGGAUCUUUCUUCUCUGAGUUUAUCGGCGGACGGGUGGUUAACACGUGGAUAACCUACCUAUAAUACUGGGAUAACUUCGGGAAACCGGGGCUAAUACGGGAGAAUAGUUUGAACCGCAUGGUGCAAAAGUGAAAGACGCUCUUGCUGUCACUUAUAGAUGGGUCCGCGCUGCAUUAGCUAGUUGGUAAGGUAACGGCUUACGAAGGCAACGUUGACUAGCCGCCCUGAGAGGGUGAUCGGCCGCACCGGAGCGGCGACACGGUCCAGACUCCUACGGGAGGCAGCAGUAGGGAAUCUUCCGGAAUGGGCGAAAGACUGACGGAGCAACGCCGCGUGAGUGAUGAUGGUCUUCGGACCGUAAAACUCUGUUAUUAGGGAAGAACAUAUGUGUACGUAACUGUGCACAUCUUGACGGUACCUAAUCAGAAAGCCACGGCUAACUACGUG
rnacentral:rRNA from 1 species